AGGACGAACGCUGGCGGCGUGCCUAACACAUGCAAGUCGAACGGGGGUUUGCUUCGGUAGAACCUUAGUGGCGAACGGGUGAGUAACGCGUAGGCAACCUGCCCCCCGGAUUGGGACAACACCCCGAAAGGGGUGCUAAUACCGGAUACGAAGAUAGCACCGCAUGGUGAUAUUUUGAAAGAUGGCCUCUACAGGUAAGCUAUCGCCGGGGGAUGGGCCUGCGUCCGAUUAGCUGGUUGGUGGGGUAACGGCCCACCAAGGCGACGAUCGGUAGCCGGUCUGAGAGGAUGAACGGCCACAUUGGGACUGAGACGCGGCCCAGACUCCUACGGGAGGCAGCAGUGGGGAAUCUUCCGCAAUGGGCGCAAGCCUGACGGAGCAACGCCGCGUGAGUGAGGAAAGUUUUUCGGAACGUAAAGCUCUGUUGUACAUGACGAACGUGCGAUCUGUCAACAACGGAUGGCAGUGACGGUAGUGUACGAGGAAGCCACGGCUAACUACGUGCCAGCCGCGGC
rnacentral:rRNA from 1 species